GAUAGAUAGAUGUGCAUGAUUCUGUGCUGCUCGGUAGGCAUUCUAGACAUCACAGAUUGUACAAUUAAUAACUCUGCAUAUUUUAUGAGCAUGCCAGUCCAUCUGCUUUAUGAAUGCAUGUAAAACUGUCCUCUUCAGGACGCCCUGUUGUGCAUAUCAAAAGGACUUCAAGUUCAAAUCAACAGCAAGAAGAACGCACAGGGACAUAGCAUCGUGAAGAGAAUAUGAACAGUGGCGGAAUGUGCAGAUUAGAGCACCACCACCACCACAACGGCUUCAUCACCACCUUAAAAUAUGAUGAUGUCAGUGGGGUCUAAUUGCCAAAGACUCUGACAAUUCUCCACUUUAAUGUGCACAUGGCAAUAAAAAUAUUUGUUCACUCA